rnacentral:tRNA from 1 species
CAGAGAAUAGUUUAAGAUUAAAAUAUUAAUUUUGGGAAUUAAAGACAAAGAGUUUCUUUUUCUCUGA